ensembl:lncRNA
AAAAAUGAGGUACUUCAGUAUUAAAUUAGAUUAUCUUCAUAGCAAUGUCUCCUAAAGGUGUUUUGUAAAGGAUAUCAAUGCCUUGAUUAGACCUAAUUUGUAGACUUAAGACUUUAUUUUCUAAACCUCGUGAUUCUGCUCAUCAAUCAUGUAUCUAAUCUAUAUGAUAUGCAGCCGCUGUAGGAACCAAUUCUUGAUUUUUAUAUGUUUAUAUUCUUUCUUAAUGAACCUUAGAAAGACUACAUGAUACUAAGUAGGCCACUUUUAGGGUUGUUUUUCUUGCCCACUCUGGUAGGGAAAUAAUCUUUUAUUAAUUGGUAUCAGUUUCCAACAACUGCAAAUACCAAGGAACUGAUUACCUUUUUUGAGCUAAUUCUCUCCAUCCCCAAUACACAUACUUUCUUACCUAAAUUUAAGAAUGGUAUCUUUUUGAUGUCUAAAAAGCAAAGUAUUUUAUAAUAUCUCAUUAGCCAGGCUUUUUAGGAACAGAAGUUUUUCCUUGAAAUUUGAUUGCUUAUAUGUGGCAGGGUGAAAAAUGUACAAACUACCCCUAUUUAUAUUUAUAUAUCUCUAUAUGUACCAAGUAUGGAAAUAUAGGAAGAGAUAUAGCCCAAUGAUAAAUGGUAAGUAGAGGUCUGAAAGUGUUGCUCCAUAGUAAACUUUCUGGAAAUUGGCAUUUCAAUACUGUUUUCCACUUUGAGAGGGAUCUCAGUCCAGGGAGCUGGCCAAGAAACAGCACUUCUCGGCGGCCACCAGUCAAUACAUCCCUUCAAGAGGCUCUGCUGACGACAAACGUGAAAGAGGUGGGCCCGGAACUCCAUGGUUUUAUCCCAGCGAUGAGGUUCAUGCGCUGCAUAGUUCAGCGUGACCCCUUGUGAGUUCAUUUUUAGAAAUGCAUGAGUUGGAGUGACUCUUAACUUCACACAGGACAAAAGAGAAAAUGGUGUUUUAACCGGAUUUAAGUCUUUUUUCACUAACACCAUCCAAAAGAAGCCUGUGUUCUUUCAUUGUUACCCAUCUGCCCACUGUGUUUUAACAUCAGUCCCAACUCAGACAAAUCUGCAGAGCUGUGAGACUGGCAGUUUAGAAUAAUUCAUGAUCAUUACUGUCUUGAAGGAAAGAGAUUAUAAAUUAAAUUCUCUUAGGGUUCAGAUCAGGUAGUGGAUUUUGUUUUACAUCUAAUUAGGAGAAGAAAAUAAGUGAAGGUCCUCUGAUCAUAUUGAUCACUAUCGAAGCAAAAGCCAAAUCAACUCCCUUCAUUAUCAGUAUUUCUCAUGCUGUACACAAUAAAUUUGUUAGACUGAGUACUUGGUUUUUGUUGAUAGAACAAAUAAUCAGUGUUUUACUUAUAUUACUAAAUGUGAAAAACAUAAUGUGAAAAGUAUACAUACAUUAACUUGGUUGUAAAACCCAUUAAGUGUUCAUGUAAUGUGGUAAGUUUAAAAGUGAAGUGAGCUGUUUUACUACAAUGAAUUCGUUUGACUCAAAGAUUAAAAAGCCCCUCUCCCGAUGUGUAUCUCUUAUGGCCUGUAAUAAUUGAAAGCAAUGUUUUUGCAAUUUAUAUAAUGCAGUUUUUAAUCUGUGUUUAAAAAUGGAGUUCAUAUGGGCUUAACACAUGAACUGGGUGGCACAGAUCCACUUGCAGAACCCAAAGAUACACAAUCAAUUUUGAAAUGCAACUUAAGCCAUUAAUUGUUGGUGUGAAUUUAAAAUUUUCUAGUGUUUGUAUGGUAGUAUGUUGCCUAAGAGCAAAGCAUUCUCUGCACAAAAGAAAAUUACUGUAGUGGCUUCAAUUUUAAUUAGAAUUUUCUCCCUGGUGUUUCUUUAUAGACUAAAACAAAGUCUUUUAAGUUUCUUACUACAGGUAAAAGCUAUGUGCAAGAACCUCAAAAUGCUAAAAUCUAGCAUAAUGCCUUAGAUCUGUUUUUAAGUCUUGUAUAUUCCUACAUAGCUGUCCGAUGUAUUAUAUUUGUAUAGUGAAUUGUGUACAAUUUUUGAAUAAGUGCAUCAUCACUUAACCUUUAUGUUAUUGAAGAGUGAUGAUGAUACAUUUCUUCAAACAUUUAACUGUCAUUUUUUCCUUUGUCAUUUGUGGGUUUUAUUUGUACAGUUACUCAUAAAGUUGCAUCUGAGAUGUGUGUAUAUGAAAAGAUUAUACAAGGGUAAAAUUAAGCAAUAUAUAAACUAUGGUUCUUCAGGAGAAAGCUUACAGUGUUUCAGGUUGUGAUUUAUUUUCAAAACAGAGUUGACUCAACAUCACUUUGUUCACCUGCAUUGAUGUUUGUAUUUCUAGUGUGAGCAGUUUAUGCAAAGUUAGAUAUAUUCAGAGAAAUUUUAAAUACAUUUAUGCAAGUUAAUAUUGCUUUGCUGAUGCUAUUUGCUUAUUUGAUGUUAAAUAAUGCUAUUGUAAAUAAAGAAUUCUGUUGUUAUUGCAUCAUUUAAUAAAUUUUAAUGCCUUCGGGUUUUACAUGGCUUUAGAU